GGUUGAACAUGAAGUUUCAUUAAGGGAUGAGCCCAGAAUGCCCAAGAAAAGGGCCCAAGCUGACAAACAUACAAUGAAAAAAGAGUUGACAACUCCACCUAAUUCGAUGCAAACCAGGUAACAGAGAGUGAACUGAACAAAAGCAAAAUAGAAACCAGCUGACUAAGAGCUUUGACGGGGAGGACAAGGAAGGCCAUCAAUCUUCAAUACUCGAAGUAAGGAUGGUGGUGGCGUGUUUGCCCAUCUGUUUAGACCCACCGUCCCUUUGGCAAGCGAAGCCGCAGUGUGAGCGACUGUGUUCGCUUCUCGGGGAAUCCAAUCCCAGUAAAUCUCAGAGAACUGGAGGCUUUUCCUUCUAAUCUCUUCAAUUAAAGGGGACGGAGUUGCAGCAAAUUGAUCUAGCAGAGCCUCCCUUCACAGUAUACUGGUGAUCCCGGAUCACUACACCUAUACCACAAGGAGAUGAGGGAUCAGACCAUGCUGCAUCACAAUUGAUUUUUACAAACCCAGGAGGGGAGGGAUCCAUCUAGUUGAUUGAGUAGGGGGAUGAAGCGGAGUGGCUGAAUUCAAGCUUCUUGUUCCCCAAUAUUCAUAAGCUAGAUUCGCUCCACUUCUGAUAAUCAACAGUGGAAUCAGUGGCUUCAUUUGGUAGAUAAAGUCACACCUCGCAGUCCAAAUCUUCGAACAAUAGAAGCUAAUCAAGGUGCUUCAUCUUCUUGUGAGAGUAUCAAAAGCUGCUCUUUUAUUGAAACAAGGUGCUUUCAAUUAAUUUGGGAUUAUUGUCGCUGCGUCAUGCAAUAAGAAAAGAAAAUUUGUCAGAGCAGAGAUGUUUGUUUAGGGGUGUGACGGUUGGUCAAGAGAAAAAUAAACUCGGGACUAAAAUGAAGACUGCAUGUGCACAAUGAAAAAAGAUAGCAAUUGUUUGAACCCAAAAGUAAUUU